GAUGAAGAACGCAGCGAAAUGCGAUACGUAAUGUGAAUUGCAGAAUUCAGUGAAUCAUCGAAUCUUUGAACGCAUAUUGCGCUCUCUGGUAUUCCGGAGAGCAUGCUUGUUUGAGUAUCAGUAAACACCUCAACUUCCAUAUCUUUUUUGAAAUGGGAGUUGGACUUGAGUGAUCCCAACGCUUUUCCUCACCGAAAAGUGGCGGGUUACUUGAAAUGCAGGUGCAGCUGGACUUUUCUCUGAGCUAUAAGCAUAUCUAUUUAGUCUGCCUAAAAAACAGAUUAUUACCUUUGCUGCAGCUAACAUAAAGGAGAUUAGUUCUUGUGCUGACUGAUGCAGGAUUCACAAAGACGGCUUCGGCCGACUUUGUAAACUCGAUCUCAAAUCAAGUAAGACUACCCGCUGAACUUAAUCAUAUCAAUAAGCGGAGGA
rnacentral:misc_RNA from 1 species